rnacentral:rRNA from 1 species
CCGUCCCGCCGCCCCCGCCCGACGGGGUGCAGCAGGCGCGAAACCUUUACACUGCACGCCAGUGCGAUAAGGGGACCCCAAGUGCGCAGGCAUAGUGCCUGCGCUUUUCUGGACUGUAGGGCGGUCCAGGAACAAGGGCUGGGCAAGACCGGUGCCAGCCGCCGCGGUAAUACCGGCAGCCCAAGUGAUGGCCGCUGUUAUUGGGCCUAAAGCGUCCGUAGCUGGCCGCACAAGUCCGUCGGGAAAUCCGCCCGCUCAACGGGCGGCCGUCCGGCGGAACCUGUGUGGCUUGGGACCGGGAGGCCUGAGGGGUACGAUCGGGGUAGGAGUGAAAUCCUGUAAUCCCGCUCGGACCGCCGAUGGGGAAACCACCUCAGGAGAACGGAUCCGACAGUGAGGGACGAAAGCCAGGGUCUCGAACCGGAUUAGAUACCCGGGUAGUCCUGGCCGUAAACGAUGCUUGUUAGGUGUGACUCCCACUACGAGUGGGUGUUGUGCCGUAGGGAAGCCGCUAAACAAGCCGCCUG